GAUGAUAAUGACAGUAGCAGGUAAAGAAACCCCGGCUAACUCCGUGCCAGCAGCCGCGGUAAUACGGAGGGGGUUAGCGUUGUUCGGAAUUACUGGGCGUAAAGCGCGCGUAGGCGGAUUAGAAAGUUGGGGGUGAAAUCCCGGGGCUCAACCUCGGAACUGCCUCCAAAACUGCUAGUCUAGAGUUCGAGAGAGGUGAGUGGAAUUCCGAGUGUAGAGGUGAAAUUCGUAGAUAUUCGGAGGAACACCAGUGGCGAAGGCGGCUCACUGGCUCGAUACUGACGCUGAGGUGCGAAAGUGUGGGGAGCAAACAGGAUUAGAUACCCUGGUAGUCCACACCGUAAACGAUGAAUGCCAGUCGUCGGGUAGUAUACUAUUCGGUGACACACCUAACGGAUUAAGCAUUCCGCCUGGGGAGUACGGUCGCAAGAUUAAAACUC
rnacentral:rRNA from 1 species